rnacentral:rRNA from 1 species
CGAACGCUGGCGGCGUGCUUAACACAUGCAAGUCGAACGGAAAGGCCCUGCUUUUGUGGGGUGCUCGAGUGGCGAACGGGUGAGUAACACGUGAGUAACCUGCCCUUGACUUUGGGAUAACUUCAGGAAACUGGGGCUAAUACCGGGUAGGAGCUCCUGCUGCAUGGUGGGGGUUGGAAAGUUUCGGCGGUUGGGGAUGGACUCGCGGCUUAUCAGCUUGUUGGUGGGGUAGUGGCUUACCAAGGCUUUGACGGGUAGCCGGCCUGAGAGGGUGACCGGCCACAUUGGGACUGAGAUACGGCCCAGACUCCUACGGGAGGCAGCAGUGGGGAAUAUUGCACAAUGGGCGGAAGCCUGAUGCAGCAACGCCGCGUGCGGGAUGACGGCCUUCGGGUUGUAAACCGCUUUCGCCUGUGACGAAGCGUGAGUGACGGUAAUGGGUAAAGAAGCACCGGCUAACUACGUG